rnacentral:rRNA from 1 species
AGAGUUUGAUCAUGGCUCAGGAUGAACGCUAGCGGGAGGCUUAACACAUGCAAGUCGAGCGGCAAGGCAGCAAUGCCCUAGAGCGGCGCACGGGUGAGUAACGCGUAUGCAACCUGCCUUUUACAGGGGGGAUAGCCCGGAGAAAUUCGGAUUAAUACCCCAUGUGGCUAUGAAUUCGCAUGGAUUUAUGGCUAAAGAUUUAUCGGUAAAAGAUGGGCAUGCGUGACAUUAGCUGGUUGGUGGGGUAACGGCCCACCAAGGCGACGAUGUCUAGGGGUUCUGAGAGGAUGAUCCCCCACACUGGUACUGAGACACGGACCAGACUCCUACGGGAGGCAGCAGUGAGGAAUAUUGGUCAAUGGGCGCAAGCCUGAACCAGCCAUCCCGCGUGAAGGAUGAAUGUACUAUGUAUUGUAAACUUCUUUUCUGCACCAAGAAUUGGCGCUACGUGUAGCGUUUUGACGGUAGUGCAGGAAUAAGCAUCGGCUAACUCCGUGCCAGCAGCCGCGGUAAUACGGAGGAUGCGAGCGUUAUCCGGAUUCAUUGGGUUUAAAGGGUGCGUAGGCGGUUUUUUAAGUCAGUGGUGAAAUCCUGCGGCUCAACCGUAGAACUGCCAUUGAUACUGAGGAACUUGAAUAUAGUUGAGGUAGGCGGAAUGAGUAGUGUAGCGGUGAAAUGCUUAGAUAUUACUCAGAACACCGAUUGCGAAGGCAGCUUACCAAGUUAUAAUUGACGCUGAGGCACGAAAGCGUGGGGAUCGAACAGGAUUAGAUACCCUAGUAGUCC